rnacentral:rRNA from 1 species
UAGGGAAUCUUCGGCAAUGGACGAAAGUCUGACCGAGCAACGCCGCGUGAGUGAAGAAGGUUUUCGGAUCGUAAAACUCUGUUGUUAGAGAAGAACAAUGACGUUAGUAACUGAACGUCCCCUGACGGUAUCUAACCAGAAAGCCACGGCUAACUACGUGCCAGCAGCCGCGGUAAUACGUAGGUGGCAAGCGUUGUCCGGAUUUAUUGGGCGUAAAGCGAGCGCAGGCGGGUUCUUAAGUCUGAUGUGAAAGCCCCCGGCUCAACCGGGGAGGGUCAUUGGAAACUGGGAGACUUGAGUGAAGAAGAGGGGAGUGGAAUUACAUGUGUAGCGGUGAAAUGCGUAGAUAUAUGGAGGAACACCAGUGGCGAAGGCAGCUCUCUGGUCUGUAACUGACGCUGAGGAUCGAAAGAGUGGGGAGCAAACAGG